UGGAACAGCCAUACCAGCUGGACCCAGUAAUCCCUCUGAAGCUAAGCAGGUUUGGGCUGGGCCAGUACUGGAUGGGCAACCAGCUAGGAAAGCUGAGUUGCUGCUGGAA
rnacentral:rRNA from 1 species